GAUGAACGCUAGCUACAGGCUUAACACAUGCAAGUCGAGGGACCGGCGCACGGGUGAGUAACGCGUAUCCAACCUGCCCAUAAGUAGGGUAUAACCCGCAGAAAUGCGGACUAAUCCCCUAUGCUUAUGGAUGGGUAUGCGUCCGAUUAGCUUGUUGGUGAGGUAACGGCUCACCAAGGCUUCGAUCGGUAGGGGUUCUGAGAGGAAGGCCCACCACAAAGGAAAUGAGACACAGUCCUAAAUCGUAGGGGAGGCAGGAGUGAGGAAUAUUAGGGAAGGGGGGAGGGCCUGAACCAGCCAAGUAGCGUGAAGGAUGACGGCCUAUGGGUUGUAAACUGCUUUUAUGCGGGGAUAGGUACCGCAUGAAUAAGGACCGGCUAAUUCCGUGCCAGCAGCCGCGGUAAUAC
rnacentral:rRNA from 1 species